rnacentral:rRNA from 1 species
GACUCCUACGGGAGGCAGCAGUGGGGAAUUUUCCGCAAUGGGCGAAAGCUUGACGGAGCAACCUCGCGUGAGGGAUGACGGCCUAUGGGUUGUAAACCUCUUUUUUCAGGGAGGAAUCAAUGACGUGUACCUGAAGAAUAAGCAUCGGCUAACUCCGUGCCAGCAGCCGCGGUAAU